rnacentral:misc_RNA from 1 species
GCAAGAACAGUGAAUACAACAAAUCGCAAGCAGAAAAAAGGAGAGAAAAAAGGGCAAAGAAAUUCAGGGGAAAGAUGAAAAGGGUAUAAGGACCUUAAAAGCCAACAGAAGUAGAGAAGUUUUUCGAAAUCAAGAACAAAGAAACCAAAAUUAUGGUGAAUUUUGAGACAGAAGAGUGAAAGAGUAGUGGAGAGUGAACGGUAAUAGACGGAGAGCAAAGGGAAAGCUGUGUGUAUAAGAUUUGAUUGAGUGAGGAUUGCCAAGGCGAAAGAGUGGACUGCUCGCCCAGUCGUUGGAAAAAAUGAAAGGAA